rnacentral:rRNA from 1 species
UACGGGGGGAGCAAGCGUUGUUCGGAUUUACUGGGCGUAAAGGGCGCGUAGGCGGCCAGUGCAAGUCAGUUGUGAAAUCUCCGAGCUUAACUCGGAAAGGUCGACUGAUACUGCUCGGCUAGAGUGCGGAAGGGGCAACUGGAAUUCUUGGUGUAGCGGUGAAAUGCGUAGAUAUCAAGAGGAACACCUGCGGCGAAGGCGGGUUGCUGGGCCGACACUGACGCUGAUGCGCGAAAGCUAGGGGAGCGAACGGG